UUAAGUUCAGCGGGUAUUCCUACCUGAUCCGAGGUCAACCUUGAGUUAAAGAUGGUCUUUAACGGCAGGAGCGCCGCACAACGCCCUAAGCGAGAAAAUGAAUUACUACGCUCGGAGUUGUAGCGAGCCCGCCACUUCCUUUCAGGGCCUACGGCAGCCGUAGGGCCCCAACACCAAGCAGGGCUUGAGGGUUGAAAUGA
rnacentral:misc_RNA from 1 species